rnacentral:rRNA from 1 species
ACGAACGCUGGCGGCGUGCUUAACACAUGCCAGUCGAACGCUGAAGCUUGGUGCUUGCACUGGGUGGAUGAGUGGCGAACGGGUGAGUAAUACGUGAGUAACCUGCCCUUGACUCUGGGAUAAGCCUGGGAAACUGGGUCUAAUACUGGAUACGACAUGUCACCGCAUGGUGGUGUGUGGAAAGGGUUUUACUGGUUUUGGAUGGGCUCACGGCCUAUCAGCUUGUUGGUGGGGUAAUGGCUCACCAAGGCGACGACGGGUAGCCGGCCUGAGAGGGUGACCGGCCACACUGGGACUGAGACACGGCCCAGACUCCUACGGGAGGCAGCAGUGGGGAAUAUUGCACAAUGGGCGGAAGCCUGAUGCAGCGACGCCGCGUGAGGGAUGACGGCCUUCGGGUUGUAAACCUCUUUCAGCACGGAAGAAGCGAAAGUGACGGUACGUGCAGAAGAAGCGCCGGCUAACUACGUG